UACGAAGGGGGCUAGCGUUGCUCGGAAUACUGGGCGUAAAGCGUGCGCAGGCGGUUUUGUAAGUCUGUCGUGAAAUCCCCGGGCUCAACCUGGGAAUUGCGAUGGAGACUGCAAGGCUAGAAUCUGGCAGAGGGGGGGUAGAAUUCCACGUGUAGCAGUGAAAUGCGUAGAGAUGUGGAGGAACACCGAUGGCGAAGGCAGCCCCCUGGGUCAAGAUUGACGCUCAUGCACGAA
rnacentral:rRNA from 1 species